UGAUGUUUUAGAAUUGUGAGCCGAGGCUACUACUCGGAGAAGGACGCGUCCACGGCAGUCAGACAAAUGUUGGUGGCAGUGCAGUAUCUCCAUGAAAAUGAAGUUGUGCACAGAGAUUUAAAGCCUGAAAACCUCCUGUAUGAAGAUCUUACUGAUGAGUCAAAUUUGAAAGUUGCUGACUUCGGUCUCUCCAAGAUAAUAGACAGAGAGGUGACCAUGAACACUGUGUGUGGGACCC